rnacentral:rRNA from 1 species
AACGAACGCUGGCGGCAUGCCUAACACAUGCAAGUCGAACGAAGCCUUCGGGCUUAGUGGCGCACGGGUGCGUAACGCGUGGGAAUCUGCCCUUGGGUUCGGAAUAACAGUUAGAAAUGACUGCUAAUACCGGAUGAUGUCUUCGGACCAAAGAUUUAUCGCCCAAGGAUGAGCCCGCGUAGGAUUAGGUAGUUGGUGGGGUAAUGGCCCACCAAGCCGACGAUCCUUAGCUGGUCUGAGAGGAUGAUCAGCCACACUGGGACUGAGACACGGCCCAGACUCCUACGGGAGGCAGCAGUGGGGAAUAUUGGACAAUGGGCGGAAGCCUGAUCCAGCCAUGCCGCGUGAGUGAUGAAGGCCUUAGGGUUGUAAAGCUCUUUUACCAGGGAUGAUAAUGACAGUACCUGGAGAAUAAGCUCCGGCUAACUCCGUGCCAGCCGCCGCCGCAG